AACGCUGGCGGCGUGCCUAACACAUGCAAGUCGUGCGAGAAAGUUCCUUCGGGAGCGAGUAAAGCGGCGCACGGGUGAGUAACACGUAGGUAACCUGCCCCCCAGUCUGGAACAACUAGAGGAAACUCUAGCUAAUGCCGGAUGAGACCACGAUCCCUUCGGGGGUUGCGGCCAAAGAUGGCCUCUACUUGUAAGCUAUCGCUGAGGGAUGGGCCUGCGGGCCAUUAGCUUGUUGGUGAGGUAACGGCUCACCAAGGCUGUGAUGGCUAGCUGGUCUGAGAGGAUGACCAGCCACACUGGGACUGAGACACGGCCCAGACUCCUACGGGAGGCAGCAGUGGGGAAUAUUGGACAAUGGGCGAAAGCCUGAUCCAGCCAUGCCGCGUGUGUGAAGAAGGCCUUCGGGUUGUAAAGCACUUUAAGCGGGGAGGAAGGUUCGCUACUUAAUACGUAGCGGAAUUGACGUUACCCGCAGAAUAAGCACCGGCUAACUCUGUG
rnacentral:rRNA from 1 species